UACGGGGGGAGCAAGCGUUGUUCGGAUUUACUGGGCGUAAAGGGCGCGUAGGCGGCCACCGCAAGUCGACUGUGAAAUCUCCGGGCUUAACCCGGAAAGGUCAGCCGAUACUGCGGGGCUAGAGUGCAGAAGGGGCAACUGGAAUUCUCGGUGUAGCGGUGGAAUGCGCAGAUAUCAGGAGGAACACCAAUAGCGAAGGCAGCUCGCUGGGACGGUAUUGACGCUAAGGCGCGAAAGCGUGGGGAGCAAACAGG
rnacentral:rRNA from 1 species